ensembl:snRNA U6 U6 spliceosomal RNA
UUGCUCACUUCAGAAGCACAUAUACUAAAAUUGGAACGAUACAGAGAAGAUUAGCAUGGCUCCUGCACAAGGAUGACACGCUAGUAUCUUUUAAGGACCAGAGUUGG